rnacentral:lncRNA from 1 species
GGGAGAGUUCUCUCGUAAAGGAACUUGAAUUAAUAACUCACCAGGCUCUACCCGCUCUUUCUGAGGGUUGACCCGUGCCUCCAUAACCUUAGUUGAGGGUUUGUCAGUUGCUAGGGCAGGCACCUCGGCUGGCCGUUUUGCCUCGUGGGUUGCCAGGUAGCAUCGCCUUGCCACCAUUUGGUCCCCUCGAACUUCGCCGACUUCCUGGCUGGUGGGGAAUCGCAUAAGCAGGUGGCGGGUCGAGACCACUGCCCGGAGGGCGUUGAGACCCGGCCUUCCGAGGAUGGCAUUGUAGACUGAGGGCAGGCGUAUUACAAGGAAGCUCAUCC